UCAGCCAUCUCAGUGCUAGGAUUACAGCCACACCCAACUACUCCGUUACAGCCUCAUAAAAUGAGUUUGGGAAGUGACCCUUUGCUUCUGUUCUGAAAGAAUCUGUGUAAGAUUGGCAUUAUUCCUUCCUCAAAUAAUUGUUAGAAAUCAACAAUAAAGCCAUGUGAGCCUGAA